rnacentral:rRNA from 1 species
UUUAUGGAGAGUUUGAUCCUGGCUCAGGACGAACGCUGGCGGCGUGCCUAAUACAUGCAAGUCGAGCGCAGGAAGCGAGCUGAUCCCCUUCGGGGGUGACGCUCGUGGAAUGAGCGGCGGACGGGUGAGUAACACGUGGGCAACCUGCCUGUAAGAUCGGAAUAACUCCGGGAAACCGGAGCUAAUGCCGGGUAACAUGUUCCUUCGCAUGAAGGAACAUUAAAAGAU